rnacentral:rRNA from 1 species
CAGUCGCCGCGGUAAUACGAAGGGGGCUAGCGUUGUUCGGAUUUACUGGGCGUAAAGCGCACGUAGGCGGACUUUUAAGUCAGGGGUGAAAUCCCGGGGCUCAACCCCGGAACUGCCUUUGAUACUGGGAGUCUUGAGUUCGAGAGAGGUGAGUGGAAUUGCGAGUGUAGAGGUGAAAUUCGUAGAUAUUCGCAGGAACACCAGUGGCGAAGGCGGCUCACUGGCUCGAUACUGACGCUGAGGUGCGAAAGCGUGGGGAGCAAACAGGAUUAGAUACCCGUGUAGUCCCUGUCUCUUAUAC